rnacentral:rRNA from 1 species
CGCUGGCGGCGUGCCUAAUACAUGCAAGCCGAGCGAACGGACGAGAAGCUUGCUUCUCUGAUGUUAGCGGCGGACGGGUGAGUAACACGUGGAUAACCUACCUAUAAGACUGGGAUAACUUCGGGAAACCGGAGCUAAUACCGGAUAAUAUUUUGAACCGCAUGGUUCAAAAGUGAAAGACGGUCUUGCUGUCACUUAUAGAUGGAUCCGCGCUGCAUUAGCUAGUUGGUAAGGUAACGGCUUACCAAGGCAACGAUGCAUAGCCGACCUGAGAGGGUGAUCGGCCACACUGGAACUGAGACACGGUCCAGACUCCUACGGGAGGCAGCAGUAGGGAAUCUUCCGCAAUGGGCGAAAGCCUGACGGAGCAACGCCGCGUGAGUGAUGAAGGUCUUCGGAUCGUAAAACUCUGUUAUUAGGGAAGAAUAUAUGUGUAAGUAACUGUGCACAUCUUGACGGUACCUAAUCAGAAAGCCACGGCUAACUACGUGCCAGCAGCCGCGGUAAUACGUAGGUGGCAAGCGUUAUCCGGAAUUAUUGGGCGUAAAGCGCGCGUAGGCGGUUUUUUAAGUCUGAUGUGAAAGCCCACGGCUCAACCGUGGAGGGUCAUUGGAAACUGGAAAACUUGAGUGCAGAAGAGGAAAGUGGAAUUCCAUGUGUAGCGGCGAAAUGCGCAGAGAUAUGGAGGAACACCAGUGGCGAAGGCGACUUUCUGGUCUGUAACUGACGCUGAUGUGCGAAAGC